UUAAAUGAACUCCCUUGUCCUAAGCUAUUCCC
rnacentral:piRNA from 1 species